AAGCUCGUAGUUGAAUUUCGGGACCAACAUGUCGGUCGUGCCUCGGUACGCACUGGCAUCGUCGGUUUCUCCCUUCUGACGAACCAUGAUGUCAUUUAUUUGGUGUUGUGGGGAAUCAGGACUGUUACUUUGAAAAAAUUAGAGUGUUUAAAGCAGGCUCACGCUUGAAUACAUUAGCAUGGAAUAAUGAAAUAGGACGUUUGAUUCUAUUUUGUUGGUUUCUAGGAUCGACGUAAUGAUUAAUAGGGAUAGUUGGG
rnacentral:rRNA from 1 species